ensembl:snRNA U6 U6 spliceosomal RNA
GUGCUUGGUUGGGCAGCAUCCAUAUUAAAAUUAGAAAGAUACAAAGAAGAUUAGCAUGGCCCCCGCAAAAGGAUGAAACACAAAUUUGUGAAGCAUUCCACCUUAAA